GCACUAUGGAUCCUCCUCAGAGGUCUCUUUCCUCAGGAUCUGUCCAAGUAGCAAAAGGGAGCAUAAGGCCCUUUCCCAUGAUGGACAGUCUCUUUCCACAAUGUUGGAGAGGAAACUGGGCCCUGAGUCUGCACCUGCAUCUUCCUGCAACUUCUCAGAGUCUUGUGGACAGUGACUGAGGGGACAAACCAUGUAGGAAACAAAG
ensembl:snoRNA SNORA73 Small nucleolar RNA SNORA73 family